rnacentral:lncRNA from 1 species
CUGCAUCCCGUUGUAGAUUUUUCUGGCUUUGCCUGCCCAGCUGCUCCAAGCCAGGCUGGUGAAGGAGGAGUCUGCUGUGGUGAGCUGGAGGUUGGAGCCUGAAGAUGGCACAGCUCUGCAAUUCAUCUGUGGUUGUGGCGGUGACGGUGAUGGAGACUGCAGCUCAACAGGAGCAGGAGGAGGAUACCCAUGGAGGCCAGAUUCCACCGAGGACCCCAUGGAGGAACACCUCAGGGAGAAGAAAAAGGAGGCCCCAUGGAAACUGAAGGUCAAACCCCUGCAUUUGUCUGAGGAAUACAGUUGCUUUCCUAGCUUUAUCUUUCUGAAUGAGCCUAUGAGAUGAGAAUCUGACCGUAUGUAUUAUAGACGACUUACACUGUGUCCUUGGUCGGGUGAAUUCUGAGUAAGAGCCUGUUCCCCAGUGAGGCUUGCUUUUGAAUAGCAGGAUAAAAUGACAGCGUCAGCCACGCACUGCGUGGAGUGAGCUUUUUCCUUAGCAGCUUGAUUCUCUCCUUGGAACAAAAUUACUUAAUUGCCAAGCCACAUGGACUUGGAGGAAACAUAAUUCAAGGAAAUUGUGUCUGUAGCGUGAGGCGGUUUGUCCUGUUCUUUUGUGUUCCUUAGACUUUAACACA